UGGUAGGUGUUUCUAAUAAAGUGGCCAGUGAGUGUAAGUACAAUGUGGUGGGUGUUUCUAAUAAAGUGGCCAGUGAGUGUAAGUACAAUGUGGUGGGUGUUUCUAAUAAAGUGGCCAGUGAGUGUAAGUACAGUGUGGUAGGUGUUUCUAAUAAAGUGGCCAGUGAGUGUAAGUACAAUGUGGUGGGUGUUUCUAAUAAAGUGGCCAGUGAGUGUAAGUACAGUGUGGUAGGUGUUUCUAAUAAAGUGGCCAGUGAGUGUAAGAACAAUGUGGUAGGUGUUUCUAAUAAAGUGGCCAAUAAGUAAAAAUU